GAUGAACGCUAGCGGCAGGCCUAAUACAUGCAAGUCGGACGGGAUUCAGGAGCUUGCUUCUGAUGAGAGUGGCGCACGGGUGCGUAACACGUAUGUAACCUACCUUUAUCAGGGGGAUAGCCUCUCGAAAGAGAGAUUAAGCCCGCAUAAAAUCACAGCACAGCAUUGUGUAAUGAUCAAAUAUUUAUAGGAUAAAGAUGGGCAUGCGGAACAUUAGCUAGAUGGCGGGGUAACGGCCCACCAUGGCGACGAUGUUUAGGGGAUCUGAGAGGAUGGCCCCCCACACUGGUACUGAGACACGGACCAGACUCCUACGGGAGGCAGCAGUAAGGAAUAUUGGUCAAUGGGCGGAAGCCUGAACCAGCCAUGCCGCGUGCAGGAAGACGGCCCUACGGGUUGUAAACUGGUUUUAUACGGGAAUAAACCCAGAUACGUGUAUCUGGCUGAAUGUACUGUAAGAAUAAGGAUCGGCUAACCCCGUG
rnacentral:rRNA from 1 species